rnacentral:rRNA from 1 species
UGGCGGACGGGUGAGUAAUGUCUGGGAAACUGCCUGAUGGAGGGGGAUAACUACUGGAAACGGUAGCUAAUACCGCAUAACGUCGCAAGACCAAAGAGGGGGACCUUCGGGCCUCUUGCCAUCAGAUGUGCCCAGAUGGGAUUAGCUAGUAGGUGGGGUAACGGCUCACCUAGGCGACGAUCCCUAGCUGGUCUGAGAGGAUGACCAGCCACACUGGAACUGAGACACGGUCCAAACUCCUACGGGAGGCAGCAUG